rnacentral:rRNA from 1 species
CCCUUAGACGUUCUGGGCCGCACGCGCGCUACACUGACCAGUGCAACAAGCAUCCGUCCUUGGCCGACAGGCCCGGGCAAUCUUUGAACGCUGGUCGUGAUGGGGAUAGACUUUUUCAAUUUUUGGUCUUCAACGAGGAAUUCCUAGUAAACGCAAGUCAUCAACUUGCAUUGAUUACGUCCCUGCCCUUUGUACACACCGCCCGUCGCACCUACCGAUUGAAUGGUCCGGUGAAGCCUCCGGAUUGGCGCGCACCUCGGUGCCGCCGAGAAGUUGGCUAAACCUUACCAUUUAGAGGAAGGUGAAGUCGUAACA